rnacentral:rRNA from 1 species
UCUCUGGUCUGUAACUGACGCUGAGGCUCGAAAGCGUGGGUAGCAAACAGGAUUAGAUACCCUGGUAGUCCACGCCGUAAACGAUGAGUGCUAAGUGUUGGAGGGUUUCCGCCCUUCAGUGCUGCAGUUAACGCAUUAAGCACUCCGCCUGGGGAGUACGACCGCAAGGUUGAAACUCAAGGGAAUUGACGGGGACCCGCACAAGCGGUGGAGCAUGUGGUUUAAUUCGAAGCAACGCGAAGAACCUUACCAAGUCUUGACAUCCUUUGACCACUCUAGAGAUAGAGCUUUCCCUUCGGGGACAAAGUGACAGGUGGUGCAUGGUUGUCGUCAGCUCGUGUCGUGAGAUGUUGGGUUAAGUCCCGCAACGAGCGCAACCCUUAUUACUAGUUGCCAGCAUUGAGUUGGGCACUCUAGUGAGACUGCCGGUGACAAACCGGAGGAAGGUGGGGAUGACGUCAAAUCAUCAUGCCCCUUAUGACUUGGGCUACACACGUGCUACAAUGGAUGGUACAACGAGCGGCGAACUCGCGAGGGUAAGCGAAUCUCUUAAAGCCAUUCUCAGUUCGGAUUGUAGGCUGCAACUCGCCUACAUGAAGCCGGAAUCGCUAGUAAUCGCGGAUCAGCACGCCGCGGUGAAUACGUUCCCGGGUCUUGUACACACCGCCCGUCACACCACGAGAGUUUGUAACACCCAAAGUCGGUGAGGUAACCUUUAUGGAGCCAGCCGCCUAAGGUGGGAUAGAUGAUUGGGGUGAAGUCGUAACAAGGUAGCCGUAUCGGAAGG